GGAGGGGAGGGAUGACUGCCCCCGUUUUACUUAUGGAGAACCUGGGGCCAGAGCUGUUUUCCCAGGGUGACACAGGCGUUCUAGGGGAUGUAUGUGCCAUCCAUCGCAUCCCCACAAGUGCAAUCUCCAGCCUGUGCCCUGAGGUCACUUCCCGCAUCGCCCCAUCACCAUCAGGGCCUGUUCUUACUGCCUUCUGCUGUCCCCACAAGACUUGAAUUUCCUGACAGCAGGAACUGCGGCCUCUUCCGUGUGGACUCAAGAUGCAACUGUGCCCUGUGUGUGGAAGGUGUUUAAUAAAUGGAGAAUGGCA